UGGUCGGGCGACUGCGUGCCUUUUGCAGAAUGAGCCUGCGAGUUGUCCUGCGUAGCAAGGUUAAGGUACAGGAGUACCGGAGCCGGAGGGAAACCGAGUCUGAACAGGGCGAAGAGUUGCGUGGGGCAGACCCGAAACUGAGUGAUCUACUUAUGGCCAGGUUGAAGCUUGGGUAAUGCCAAGUGGAGGACCGAACCCUAGUCUGUUAAAAAAGGCAGGGAUGAGCUGUGAGUCGGAGUGAAAGGCUAAUCAAACUCAGAAAUAGCUGGUUCUCCCCGAAAUGGUUUUAGGAUCAGCCUCAUAUGUUUUUCAACGGAGGUAGAGCACUGGUUAGGCUAGGGCGGGUCAAACCGUACCAAACUUAGUCAAACUCCGAAUGCCGUUGUUUUAUAGUAUGGGAGUGAGACUGCGGGUGAUAAGAUUCGCAGUCGAAAGGGAAACAGCCCGGAGCGACAGCUAAGGUCCCUAAAUUGUGUUAAGUGGAAAAGGAAGUAUGACGGCCCAGACAGCCAGGAGGUUGGCUUAGAAGCAGCCAUCCUUUAAAGAUAGCGUAACAGCUCACUAGUCUAUAUUUAAGCUUUUCUGCGCCGACAAUGUAACGGGGCUAAAGUUAUGUGCCGAAGACAUGGGUUUAUAAGAUGUAUUUAUAUCUUAUAAGCGGUAGCAGAGCGUUCCAAUACCACUGAAGAUAAUUCGUGAGAGUUGUUGGAGGUUUUGGAAGUGAGAAUGCUGACAUGAGUAGCAGUAAAGAAUGUGAGAAUCAUUCUCGUCGUAAAUCUAAGGUUUCCUACGUAAAGAUGAUCUGCGUAGGGUUAGUCGGCCCCUAAGGUGAGGCUGAAAAGCGUAAUUGAUGGGAUAUUAGGUUAAUAUUCCUAAACCAGUGGAAAGUGACAAAUUUUGUAAAUAGUAAUUUCUUAUUGGAUUGAAAUUGCUGUGAAAAAGUUUCAGGAAAUAGCUUCCAUAUUAGACCGUACCGUAAACCGACACAGGUAGAUGAGUAGAGUAUACUAAGACGUAUGAGAUAAUGAUACUAAAGGAACUCGGCAAAUUGUGCUCAUAACUUUGGAAUAAGAGUAGUCUAUAUUUGGGCAACCAUUUAUAGAUGGCACAGAAGAGGGGGUGGCGACUGUUUAUCAAAAACACAGGACUCUGCUAACACGCAAGUGGAUGUAUAGGGUCUGACACCUGCCCAGUGCUGGAAGGUUAACAGGAGGGGUGCAAGCUCUAAAUCGAAGCCCCAGUGAACGGCGGCCGUAACUAUAACGGUCCUAAGGUAACGAAAUUCCUUGUCGGGUGAGUUCCGACCUGCAUGAAUGGUGUAACGACUUCCCCGCUGUCUCUAGUAUCAACUCAGCGAAAUUGAAUUCUCCGUUAAGAUGCGGAGUACUUGCGGCUGGACGAGCAGACCCUAUGCACCUUUACUAUAGCUUUAUAUUGGUGUUAGAAGUAUAUUGUGCAGGAUAGGUGGGAAGCUUUGAAGUUAGGGCGCUAGCCUUAAUGGAGCUAACCUUGAGAUACCACCCUUUAUACUUUUGAUACCUAACCAUAAUCCAUUAUCUGGAUUUGGGACAUUGUAUGGUGGGUAGUUUGACUGGGGCGGUCGCCUCCUAAAGAGUAACGGAGGUGUACAAAGGUAGGUUCAGACCAGUCAGAAAUUGGUUGUAGAGUGCAAUGGCAAAAGCCUGCUUGACUGUAAGGCUGACAGGCCGAGCAGAAACGAAAGUUGGUCAUAGUGAUCCGGUGGUUUUGUGUGGAAAAGCCAUCGCUCAACGGAUAAAAGGUACGCUAGGGAUAACAGGCUGAUGGUGUCUGAGAGUUCAUAUCGACGACACCGAUUGGCACCUCGCUGUCGACUCAUCACAUCCUGGGGCUGAAGAAGGUCCCAAGGGUUCGGCUGUUCGCCGAUUAAAGUGGUACGUGAGUUGGGUUCAGAACGUCGUGAGACAGUUCGGUUUCUAUCCUCCGCAAGUGUUGGAAAUUUGAGGGAACCUGGCUCAAGUACGAGAGGACCGAGCUGGACAUACCUCUGGUGCACCAGUUGUCACGCCAGUGGCAUGGCUGGAUAGCUACGUAUGGACGAGAUAACCACUGAAAGCAUCUAAGUGGGAAACUCAUCCCAAAACUAAAUUUCCCUAUAGGGUUGUAAUAGACUAUUACAUUGAUAGGCUAGAUGUGUAAGCAUGGUAACAUGUUCAGCUAACUAGUACUAAUAACCCAAUUGUUUUUUCUAA
rnacentral:rRNA from 1 species